rfam:Myotis davidii contig172437, whole genome shotgun sequence.
UUAAAGGACUUUUUAAAGUCCAUAAACUUCUUUUUCCCAUGUGAA